rnacentral:rRNA from 1 species
GGGGUGCUCGAGUGGCGAACGGGUGAGUAAUACGUGAGUAACCUACCCUUGACUUUGGGAUAACUUCAGGAAACUGGGGCUAAUACCGGAUAGGAGCUCCUGCUGCAUGGUGGGGGUUGGAAAGUUUCGGCGGUUGGGGAUGGACUCGCGGCUUAUCAGCUUGUUGGUGGGGUAGUGGCUCACCAAGGCUUUGACGGGUAGCCGGCCUGAGAGGGUGACCGGCCACAUUGGGACUGAGAUACGGCCCAG